GAUGAAGAACGUAGUGAAAUGCGAUAAGUAGUGUGAAUUGCAGAAUUCAGUGAAUCAUCGAAUCUUUGAACGCACAUUGCGCCGUUUGGUAGUCCUUAGGGCAUGCCUGUUCGAGCGUCAUUUGAAACCUCAAGCUCAGCUUGGUGUUGGGUGUCUGUCCCCGCCUCACCGCGGGGACUCGCCUCAAAAUCAUUGGCGGCCGGUACGUUGGCUUCGAGCGCAGCAGAAACGCGAACUCGAGGCCCGGCGGAUCGGCGACCAGAAGUCACUUCUUCACAGUUUGACCUCGGAUCAGGUAGGGAUACCCGCUGAACUUAAGCAUAUCAAUAAGCGGAGGA
rnacentral:misc_RNA from 1 species